ACCAGAAGACUGCAGGGCAGCUAAUGCUGUUCCAUCACUUCAGGGUUGCAGGGAAACAGCAGGAAAUUACAACCCCGUGAGCCCAGUGCUGGGACCAUUUUUGUGAAUCUCCUCUGAACACACUCCAGGGACUGUACAACCUUCCUUAGUUAUGGGCACAAAACGGUACACAAUACUCCAAUGUGGUCUGACCAGAGUCUUAUCGAGCCUCAGAAAUCCAACUCUGCUUUAAUAUUCAAGUCCUCUCAAAAUAAAUGCCAUCACUGUAUUUGCCUUUCUGACCGGGCGGACCACCUGAAAGAAUAAUCUUACGAUGGGCAAUAAUAGAUUAACCAUGGAGUUACAAAAAUGAACAAUGAUUAAUGCAUACGGGGAAAUGGAUCCCAACUUUGACUAAAGUCUCUAUGGUAAUCAACAUGCUGCAGAAUCUAGACAGGCUGCAGUUACACACAGAUGGUUUGCAAACAAGCCUGACAGCUCCAGACCCUGUAAUACUCACCUGAAGUUGGACCUGAAUGUGACAAGGGAAUAUUGCCCUUGAGCCAAACAAUGGUUGAGUCUGAUUGAUCAGGGUAAAUGAACCUGAUCAUUCCAUUGACAGAUCCUCCUUACCUUCCCAAAAAGGUGUGCAGACUUCGAAGGAUAAAAUCACCACAAAACACCACACAGUGCAGUAACUCGAGAAUAACCACGGAAAGAGAACACACCUCCAAGACCAUCAGAAGUACAAGAAGACAUCACCAAGUCGAGCCCGGUCAACUUCUAGUGGGGUGGUUUGCGAUCAUCCAAAGUUACGUUCAAGCAUAAGAUCAUUUGUAGCGUUUAUCAUUGUAUUACAAUACAUUUUACUGUUAUAAUAUUAAAUGUGUUCAAUAAACAAAUAUUGUUUGAAAGA